rnacentral:lncRNA from 1 species
UUUGUGGGCCUUCACCCUUUCUCUAGGAGCCUCCCUCCCUAGGUUGAUGAAAAAAGUAUGUGUUAUAACUCAACCGAGAAAAGAAGAGUGUGUAUUGGAGACAAGAACUUGCACAGUUAAAUAACUCAAUCUGUGAAAUAGAAUAUAGCUGCUGACUAGUGACUGAGGUGCAGACUGUCAACUGGAAGGGUUGACCAAAUUAUUCACAAAUGCUGGAAAAUUCAGAAGAAAAAAAGGAGAGAAAGGAAGGAAGAAAUGAAGGACAGAAGGGUGAACAAAGAGAAAAGAAGAAAAUGAACAGACAAAAACUACAAUGGGACCGCUGAGGGAUGAAGUUGAAUCAGUGCAUCUCCACCUUCCACACCUAGAAGAAAGAGUAUAGAAGUAAGUAUUCCCUGCCUCCCCAACCCCCGUCAAUCAUCUCCGUCCGUUAGGGCUUACCAUGAGCUCAACACAA